GGACCUUUAGCUCAGUUGGUNNAACCGUCCGGUCAUAGGUUCAAAUCCUAUAAGGUCCA
rnacentral:tRNA from 1 species